rnacentral:lncRNA from 1 species
CAGCUCCUUCACGCUGUAGCCCAUGACUGAGUCCUAAUAAAACCUUAGCUGAACUCCUUCUCCUGCCUCUUAUCAGUCUCUAAAGCAUCCAAAGGCUCAAGUUGGUAAUGCUUCCUUGCUGCGAGGCCUUAGGAGCUCGAUCUGGUGAGUUGGCCUGGGCCCAGGUCAUGAAGGAUGAGUUUAGCGGUUGGAUGGAAACAUGGAAUCAUUGCCCCGGUGGGCUUGCCCUGAGGCUGCUCCAGGAGAAGUGACGGGAGGAUGACAGGUACGCACGUUGAAAAUUACUUCGAGGUGGUCUCAGCCCCAUUUACUGUCCCCAAGAGUCCUCUCCAGAGUUUGAUGUGGACACAUUAGAAGCACACAUGAAGACAAUGAUGUAUAUGUGUUUAGUCUGAACUGGUCCAGCAUGGCUGCGUCACCGUGGAGCACAGCUGCCUGGGAAAGAGAAGAAAGAUGGGGGUGUUAAUCAUUGUGGCAGGCACGUUCUUCCUCCCUCGGCCCAUCUGCCAAGGCUGUAGGGCUGGUCACCACUGAAGGCGCUUUCAUUCACUCUUCUCUAAAACUGACAUAGGUGGCUUCUGCAUGGGAAGACCUUAAGGAAUUCAAUUCAAGUCCAUUUACUUCAAUGCUUCAGGAAUAUUUAUGUUUAGCUUGUUUAGGAACACCUUUGGAGGCACUGAACCAUGCAUUAGGAACACAGCCAUGAGCAAGGAGGUGUAGACCCUGCCCUCAGGGAACUUAUCUAUUCUGUGCAGAGUCUGUGCUCGGCAAAGAGAAUGCAGAAAUGGACACCACUCCCCAUGUACCCCACAGGGACUGCACCUGGCUGACCAUUAAUUCCACACCUGGCACUCAGCAGGGUAUUGUAUAUCUGCUCCCACAACAUUCCUUUAAAGUAGGUAUUAUUCUGAUCAUACAGGUGAAGAAGCAGCCUCAGGGUCUCCCUGGGAGACUUUGCCAGCUUAAGGUCAGGAAACAGUAGAAAACAUUAAAACUAAGGCCAACCUUGGACCAUAAAGCCAAGCCAGUUCCUCCUCACUGUGCCCUGCUUCUAGUAUCAGAAGCAUCCCCUUGAAUCUGAUUGGUUAUUUAUUUAUUUAAGUGUUAUAGGAGUUGUGCAUAUAAGACGCAAAGUGGGGAGCAUUUGGGCCAGGCUUGAAAGAAUAUGUAGAAAUCUAUCAUGAGGAAAAUGUGGGGAAGUAUUCUAGGCAUGGACACAGGGCUGCAUCUGGAAUGUUGCAUGGCUGCUGGGGGCGUGAGGAGGUGGUCUGCAAGGAUGGGCAGGGAAUGAGCCUUCUAAGAGGGAGUUAGGCCAGUUGUGAAGAGGAGUCUUCACUGCUUCCUUAGGGGAUGGAAGCUAUCAGCUAUGUUUAAGCAAUAAGGUGACUGACUAUCAAAGUAAGGAAGAAUCACAGAGGCAAUACAUGGAAUUGGCCAGUAGGGGGUAACAGAGAGUGCAAACCUGGGAGAGCAUGAGGGGGCCAUUACUAAGGUGGUCUUGCAAGUAAUGAUUCUCUUUUGUGGACCCAUCACAUGGGUCAGUCUGAUGUGUUUCAUUGAGAAGCGCCUGAUCUGUGGUUACCUCCUAGUUAGGUAGGUAGAAAUAAUUUUUUCCACAUUUCUCUUAUAAUCUCUUUCGCCAAAAUCAGAAUUUCUUUUAGCCAUGUGAGGAAACAAAAUACUUGACUCUAUUUAUGUAAUAAUAAUGAUGAUGUAGAGGACAUUGGGAUGAAUGACCCAGAUCUCACAUCUGUACUUCUCUAGCUGCUGAGAGGGCUGCCAGCAGACAGCCCUCAAUUCUUAGUCCUCUUUGAAGACUGCAUCAGCUGAAGAGAGCUAUCUCUCCCAAGAUCACACUGCCUUCCUGGGGCAGCCCACCUCCAAUGACUGAACUCUGGUGGGGGAAGGGGUGGUUAUAAAUGCCUAGCCCCCUACUUCCAGUUUGGGGUAACUCGGAAAGGCCUUCCCCACUUAAGAGCACCCUCCAAUGUUGGCUGAGACCUCUGUUGAAGCUGUGCUGCAGCCCACAUCUUCCUUUUCCUGACCCUCCACCUUUCCUUUUGUUCCUUCUUAGCAUGUGGGGAUUCUGAGAUCUCUCCCUGAUGGAGUUCAUCAUCCCAGCUGUUGCUUAGGGGACAACCCAGCAGCAAAUGACAGUUGUAGCUAAUGUUUUUCGGUUUGUUUGUGUGUGUCGAAUAUCAUGAGAGGGAGUUUAUACACAUAUUCUCAUUUCAUUCUUACAAUAACUAUGGGUAGUAGGUAGCCCAUAAAACAUUAUUUUUACCAUUGUGUAGGCACCAAAGAAUUUUCCUGUCAGUGAUCCUAGGUGAAUUUUAAUCCUUCCUGGGAGAGAGCAGGGCAGGGAUUCCUAACCUCUUUAGACAUACUAGAAACUUAGGCCCACAGAGAAAUAAAUUCCCUCAGAUUGCAAAUCUAGGAAUGUUGCAGAAUUGUCUAACUUUCUGAUCAAUUCCACUGCAUAUAGACAUUCCCAUUUCUGCUUAUGCUUUUUUAUUUUUUUUAAUUUUUAAAUUUUUUUUCCACUGGUUGGGGGGUCAGCACAGAAUGAGGGAAGAAUAAACACCAUGUAUAUCAGUGCUGGCUGGUGCUGCACUGUGCUAGGGAACUAGCUCUGUGCUUGCUCCCCUGGGGCCAGGGACAGUCAUUCACCUGUUGCAUCAACACCCUCCUUGUUUCUUUAAUGGAAAGCAUUCUGGUUCGAUCAUAAUUUUUCCUCCCAUUGUUGUGUUGCGAUGUAAGUAUCUAGACAUAGUUCUCAAUGCUUACAUUGCUUAUGCUUUUUAAUAUGCCAUGUACCAGAUAGGCUUUCCAUCCCCUGGUCUGAAAGCUGGACAUUUCUCAGCUAGUGCCCGCCUUUUGGACUCUCACUCAAAAUGUGUGGCCUAAGACAAAAUGGAAAGCAAUGGCUCUUAUACAAUAUCAGUGCCAAGGAAGCCUUCAGCAUCUAACUCAGGAAUUUCAAACUGUUUUCUACAGAGCUGCUUUGGGGGCUCAAGAGAAAAGAAGCAGGGGGAGAAAGAGGGAGAGGAGGGCAAGGGAGGAGAGGGCAGGAGUGGGAGGGGCGGGCAAGGAGCUGGCCGGCUGCUCUAGGAAAUAAACAAUGGCAACUUUCCUGCCCAGGAGGCAGCUGGUUAUUGGGCACUUUGAACUCCUCAGGACAGUAUGCUUUAUCAUCUGGAAUAAUAAACGCAAACCUGGUGGCCCAAGGAGCAGGCAGGGCUCAGUCUGGGAGGUACAGCCCUGAGCUUGGCCACAGUGGGCAGCCUGCUGUCUCACCUGCACUGAGGAGCCCAGGAAGGCAGCCUCUGGGAGGCACCCGGGGCCAAGAGGGCUCUCAGCUGGUGCUGAGUGAGCUUUUCAAAGUAAACAAGGGCUCUGGGGCCAGGGGGAGCCUCCUCUUGGUGGUGACUCUGAUGCAAUGUGGACCCUGGAAGGGGCUUGGUAUUUUUAGCUCUCCACUUGCUUUGAAAGAAAGAAAAAGGGAAAGAAACAGAACCAGAGUGUGCAAUCUAUUAUUUUUUAGGACAUAAUAGCUAACAGCUCUGAAAACAUUCUGGAUGCGCUCCACAGCUCAUCAGCAGGCGCAUCAGCACAGAAUGAGGGAAGAAUAAACGCCAUGUAUAUCAGUGCUGGCUGGUGCUGCACCACGCUAGGGAACCAGCUCUGUGCUUGCCUCGCCUGGGGCCAGGGACAGUCAUUCACCUGUUGGCUCCUCUGGUGCAUCAACACCCUCCUUGUUCCUUUAAUGGAAAGCAUUCUGGUUUGAUCAGACCCAAGUUGGAGUCAUACUUUCCUAGGCCAUUAAGAGGUCAGGGAAAUCCUUUGGGGUUGGGGGGUCAGUUCUGGGACCUGAUCUACUCCCUUGCUCGCCGUGGCCUUGGACGAGUCCCCUGGUUCCCCUGAACCUAGGUGAAUUCAAACGGCUCUUUGAGUUUUAACACUAAAGCAACCUGUAGAAAUAUAAAUGAGGAGAGGUCCUGAGAGGCCAGGAGGGUCCCAGUGCACUACGCAAAAUCAAUAUUUCUUGAGCGAACAGGAAGUACAAUGGGGGGUUGAUGGCCCACCCUUACCUGCAUGCAUAGAGGAAAUUGGACUUUCUUCUAUUACUUGCAGUUUUGUAAUCUCUAAACCUCUCAGAAGAGUAAAGACAUUUUAAUUUUGUGGUGGCCAACAGCGGCAGGCAGCCAUAGGAGAUGAUGGAUGAGCAGAGGGCUUGUGGGCUGCAGGGAGCUGGCUGGAGGGCGUGAGUGUGCAGGGCGGUGCUUGCCCUUUCUGGGGAGGAUGCUGGACUGGGAUGUGGAAGACCUGGGCUUGCCAUCUCCUUGCAGGGGCAACCUUGGGGAGAUCUUCCUUUCCGGAAGCCCAGCCUGUUCCAUCACUUCCCUUUCUGCCUCCCCCCUCAGUGCCCUGGGCCAGACUCCAUGCAGCCUGUCUCUGCCCCGGAUGAUCCUUCCAGGCUCUAACUGUUCUCACUGCCCUUCAGCCCUGCUUGGCUCCUCACCAUGCUCCUUGCUCUGCCUCCUCUAAAGUGAUCUCCUAGCGUGAAAAUCAGAUGGGGCCCCGCUCUGGCACACAACCGUCAUCUACAGCUCCUUUGUCUCAGGCAUAUGUCCAAGCAUUCAAGGCCUUUUGAGGUCUGGCCCCUGCUCAUGGUUCCAGUAUCAGCACCUGUGCCUGCUUUUUCUGCAUGCACCUUAAGAUUCCAGGCACAUUAGUCCCAGAAGGCUCCACACUUUCCCAAACAUGCGUAACCUUGUGCAUGCUGUUCCUUCCUCUUCCAAAACUCAUCUCGAGCAUCUGCUUUGCCCAGAGGACAGGGCUUGGGAAGGCCUCAUGGAGCCAAUCCCUUCCUUCUGUACACAGUCCUGUUACAGCCCCUAUUGCCUGUCAUACUCUCUCUGGGGAGACAGGUGAAAACAAAACCCUACAAGCACCAGGUUGUGGUCACUGCCGUACUCCAUGGCUAUCACAAUUAGCAAGAGUUGUCAGGAGAUGAUGGAUUUAUGGAUGUAUCUAUACAAUAGGGGUAAAGAGUCCUCUCUUUUCACUAUUGGAAGGAUGCAGAGAAUGCAAAAAAGUUUUAUAGAAGGUAGAGGCUGUACACCCUUUGAGGGUUUGUUGUUAUGAUGAUCCAAUUCCAGGACAGAAACUAGAGACAGAAGAGCAGAAACAGAAUUUCUUCCUCCCCACCUUCCCUUCCCUUUUCUCUUCCCCCUUCCCUUCUUCCCUCCUUUCUUGAGUGUUUUGCAUUGCCUAAGGCCUAAAGGAAUGCUGAAGAACCAGGCAGACAAGAUCCCCUCCCCCCAUGGGGCAUAUUUUCUGUUAAGGAAAUAAAUACGGCAAACAAACAAAUAGGCACGCUGAUUUUCAUUAAUGAAAGACUGAGAGCAGAAGCAGGUGCAGUAGGGGCCAUGGGAAGAGAAGGUCUUUAGGCACUUGACCACUCUGCCCCCCAUCAGGGAGGGCAGCUGUGAGCUGUGCGACUUGAGCAUCAGGGCUGCCUGGCACCGUUCAGUUUCCUUCUCCGUAGUGUGGGAUGAUGAUGCCCAUCUCGAUGGAGAGUGGUGAGGAAUGAAUUGACAGGCGCAGCUUAUAACUUUCUAGGAACUGACAUCAUGAAAGGGAAUUUAUGAAGUUUCCUCAUCCCCCAGUAACGAAAGGGGCUUCUGCGAUGUCCUGAGGGAAGGGACGGGCACCGAGGCCUUGUGUGCUUGGGAGUAGUAUCUUCUCUCCCAACAAGAGACCCCCAACAACAGGGAAGCCACCUUUCUUUGUAGUUCUCUGCAUGGAUUCUAGACCUUUCCCCGGCCCUGAAUCAUGGCUUGCUAUGAUCAACUAUGUUUUGUCUCCGUGGCUCACCUGGAGCUAGUCACUUUCCCUUUCGGGGCCUAUGUUUCCCCUGUAAAAAGAAGGCAUUAAACUAAAAAA